rnacentral:rRNA from 1 species
AUUGAACGCUGGCGGCAGGCCUAACACAUGCAAGUCGAGCGGAUGACGGGAGCUUGCUCCUGGAUUCAGCGGCGGACGGGUGAGUAAUGCCUAGGAAUCUGCCUGGUAGUGGGGGAUAACGUCCGGAAACGGGCGCUAAUACCGCAUACGGCCUGAGGGAGCAAGUGGGGGAUCUUCGGACCUCACGCUAUCAGAUGAGCCAAGGUCGGAUUAGCUAGUUGGUGGGGUAAAGGCAUACCAAGGCGACGAUCCGUAACUGGUCUGAGAGGAUGAUCAGUCACACUGGAUGUGAGACACGGUCGAGACACCUACGGGAGGCAGCAGUGGAGAAUAUUGGGCGAUGCACGAGUGGCUGAUCUAGCAAAGCGGCGUGUGUGAAGAAGGACUUAGGAUGGGUGAGCGCUGAAAGUUGUGAGGAUGUGCAGUAAGUUAAUACCGGGCUGUAUUGACGUUACCAGGAGAAUAAGCACCGGCUAACUUCGUG